rnacentral:rRNA from 1 species
CACCAGACUCCUACGGGAGGCAGCAGUGGGGAAUAUUGCACAAUGGGGGGAACCCUGAUGCAGCGACGCCGCGUGGGUGAAGGAGCACCUCGGUGCGUAAAGCCCUAUCGGCAGGGAAGAAAAGCGAACAGGUUCGCCUGGACGGUACCUGACUAAGAAGCCCCGGCUAACUACGUGCCAGCAGCCGCGGGAAUACGUAGGGGGCAAGCGUUAUCCGGAUUCACUGGGUGUAAAGGGAGCGUAGACGGCGACGCAAGUCUGGAGUGAAAGCCCGGGGCCCAACCCCGGGACUGCAUUGGAAACUGCCGGGCUGGAGUGUCGGAGGGGUAAGCGGAAUUCCUAGUGUAGCGGUGAAAUGCGUAGAUAUUAGGAGGAACACCAGUGGCGAAGGCGGCUUACUGGACGAUCACUGACGCUGAGGCUCGAAAGCGUGGGGAGCAAACAGGAUUAGAUACCCUCGUAUG